rnacentral:misc_RNA from 1 species
AUACUGUUUUAAGCUAUAAUUAAAAAAACAAAAAUUUAUUCAAUUUCUAUAUUAAGGUAUAUACGAUUACUAACAAUUACAACUUCAUGCCAUUGAGUGUCGGGCAAAUCCAAACUGAAAUCUGCUUUAUAGCAUUUUGCUUAGCUUUUUUGGGUUAUUGUGGCAAACUUGUAACCUAAAACAUAAGAGCGAUAACGAUUUAAUGCAAUCUUUGCCUUCCUCCAACUUAUAAAUGGCAGUCUUAUCCGAAUCCCUACCACUAAAUACUGGCAACGAUAACAAGGAUUUAGGCUCGCUACAAUACUUGUCCUUCUUUCAGGCAUCACACUUAGCAAUCUACAUUAUUUCUUAACUAAAAACUAUUUACUAAAUGCAGAUCGUUUAUAAAAUAGGCUACUGGAAAAUACAAUCCUGUUUAAUCCUUGCACUUUAGCGAAACAACUUCGGGUUUUAUCGAAAGCUUGCUUUUGCUUCUAGAGAUUCUUCUUAAUAUCAACAGAUCUCAACUUAACCCAGAAAUUUUAACUUCCUCUGUUUCACAUUCCAACAAUUACUUUAACAAAGUUACUUAAAAACAUACUUAAUUACGAUUUAGGACAUAAGCCCAAUGGAGGUUAAGGGACUCGAACCCUUGACCCUCGGCUUGCAAAGCCGAUGCUCUAACCACCUGA